UAGCUCAGUGGUAGAGCACAUGCUUAGCAAGCAUGAGGUCCUGGGUUCAGUCCCCAG
rnacentral:tRNA from 1 species